rnacentral:lncRNA from 1 species
AAUGACAAAUAAAUCAGUAUUAAAAAUGAUUUAUUGACGUCAAUGUUUUAAAAUUGUGAGGCGGAGGCAGAGAAAUCUUGUACUAAGAUGAAGGUGGAAGGCGUGAACAGGUGUGGACAAGAGAGGAGAAAGUGGAGAAAAAAAAGCGUUGUGUUAUGUGAAGAAAAAGUAGAUUAAAGAUGAAUUUAGGUUUAACUGAUAUAAAAUGAAAGUCUUCUUUUAUUUGAAAAGAGUUAAAAUAUUAAUUUAAGUUUGAUAAAAAAUUUAAC